UCCGCCCCGCCACGUCCACCUCCUACCACGACCCGCGCGCCGCCGGACGCCUCCUGCCCCGCCCACCUCCUGCCAUGCCCCGCGCGUCGUCGGCCGCCUCCUGGCUCUUGCCUCGCCACGCGACCUUGCGGUGGCCCGGUCGACGAUUACCUGCCGGAUCUCGCUGGAUCCGGUUGGAAGUGGUGCUCAGGGGGUGGAUCUGGAAGGCAGGCGGCCGGAGCUUGGAGCACAAUUGCUGACGGGCGCGGCAUGGCGUAGGGUACCGGUGAGAGAGAGAGAGAGAAGAUCAGGAGAGGAAAGGGAGCACGGGAGGAAGGAGAUGGGACGCUGGAUGGGAUCCCCACGACACCACCGACACUGUCGCGGAUCCCCAGGGAAGCCACCUUCGCCGCAGAUCCCCACAGGCCGCUGCUGCCCCAGCUCCAAAGGGUUGACGCCGCUUCACAUGCUCUGUUGCGGCCCGGUGUCCAACAACCAUUCCGAGGAACCGAAACUCGCCACUGCCAGUGUUCGCCAUCCUCCAGCAAGCGUGCCGCCGUACAUGGACGUCCUCCCAUGGGCAAGCUCCGCCCCUGUUGCAUCGUCCACCCAUGCCAAGUCCUCCUCUUUGCCAAGUGCCGCUAAGCUCCGCCAUGUCUUAGUCACUUAUCUUAACAAGCAGCGUGAAGGUGCAGCUGCAGCAGAAACAGCCAUACACUAUGGUUUUGCGGCUUUGAAGCUACACAUAAGUUCGGGAGAACGUGUACCAUCAGUGAAACAUACACAAGGGAAGGAGGAAGCAUAAAGUACAGGACAAGGAUCCGAGUGAUGGAGCAGCAAAGUUACUCAUCAAUUUGAGCUUGAUCUCAAUGGUUGACCCUUCUUUUAUUUAUCCAAUAACAAGGCACAGAGGCCAUGUUUGUUGACCUUGGUCAUUUCAACAUCAGUGACAUUCAGGUUCGUCGGCCACUAUCAGUUUUUAACAACAUUCAUAUUCAUUUGUAGCACAUUGGUUCAGAGCGGAGACUGGUUUUAAUUUUCUUCAUUUUUGGCCUGUUGCAAUACCCCUUCGUUAGCCAGGCAUCCUACCUGCAUGAAUUUUGGCAAGACGUCGGGGACACCUUCUACAAAUCUAUCCAAGCAGAGGAAUAGACCCGACAAGGAAGGGAACGACGUCAGCGCAGUCAAUGGAAUUAAGAGGGAAAGUAAACUUUGAAGCACUUGGUUGAACCAAGAGGUGAUUCCCUGUUUUUGGUGUACCAUGCAGUAGUUGCUGCAGAGUGUUUGUGCUUACAAAUAGCAACAUGAAUUUUGGUGGUAAUAGUUUCUGAACUAUAGUGUCGUAAAAAUUAUGUGGCUUAUUUUUAUAGCAUUUAUGAUUGACCAAUUUUUCCUGUAAAUUAAACCAUAUUAUGAGAAUGGGGGUGGAAUGCAUACAUACAUCAAUAAAAAUCCUUGAUCCA